GGUUCAAGUACUCAUUUAAUCUAACUCAUUUUAGGUGGUGGGUGGCCUGAAUUUUGACAUUACCUACACAAUUGUGCAAACAAAUUGUUCAAAGGAGCGUUUUCCUUCCCUCCGUGGAGACUGUGUGGCCCUUCCCAAUGGUGAUGGUGGUGAGUGUAGAGGUAAUGUUUUCGUGGAUACUGAUAACAAAAUUGAGGACUUCUCGCAGAGCUGUGACCUUCAUCCAGGAGAUGAUUUGGUAGAAGCACUUCCCAAGCAUUGCCCUGGCUGCCCCAGGGACAUACCUGUAGACAGCCCAGAGCUGAAGGAGGUGCUUGGUCAUUCCAUUG